rnacentral:rRNA from 3 species
GGGAACUACGAGCAUAAGCUUAAAACCCAAAGGACUUGGCGGUGCUUUAGACCCCCCUAGAGGAGCCUGUUCUAGAACCGAUAAUCCCCGUUCGACCUCACCUUUUCUUGUUCAUCCCGUCUAUAUACCGCCGUCGUCAGCAUACCCUGUGAAGGAAACAUAGUAGGCAAAACUGGUAAAACCCAAAACGCCAGGUCGAGGUGUAGCAUACGAAAAGGAAAGAAAUGGGCUACAUUUCCUCUUACAGGAAAUACGAAUUGUGUCAUGAAACAACACAUGAAGGAGGAUUUAGUAGUAAGCAGAAAAC